rnacentral:rRNA from 1 species
UACGGAGGGGGCCAGCGUUGUUCGGAAUCAUUGGGCGUAAAGGGCGCGUAGGCGGCCGAGCAAGUCGGAUGUGAAAUACCCCGGCUCAACUGGGGAACUGCAUCCGAAACUGCUUGGCUUGAGUCCUGGAGAGGGUAGUGGAAUUCCCAGUGUAGCGGUGAAAUGCGUAGAUACUGGGAGGAACACCGGUGGCGAAGGCGGCUACCUGGACAGGUACUGACGCUGAGGCGCGAAAGCUAGGGGAGCAAACGGG